rnacentral:rRNA from 1 species
UACGUAGGGGGCAAGCGUUGUCCGGAAUCAUUGGGCGUAAAGCGCGUGUAGGCGGCCCGGUAAGUCCGCUGUGAAAGUCCAGGGCUCAACCCUGGAAGGCCGGUGGAAACUGUCGGGCUAGAGUCCGGAAGAGGCGAGUGGAAUUCCCGGUGUAGCGGUGAAAUGCGGCAGAUAUCGGGAGGAACACCAAUGGCGAAGGCAGCUCGCUGGGACGGUACUGACGCUGAGACGCGAAAGCGUGGGGAGCAAACAGG